rnacentral:rRNA from 2 species
GAGUGAUCGAAAGAUGAAAAGCACUUUGAAAAGAGAGUUAAAAAGCACGUGAAAUUGUUGAAAGGGAAGCGCUUGCGACCAGACUCGCCUACGGGGUUCAGCCGGUAUUCGUACCGGUGUACUUCCCCGUGGGCGGGCCAGCGUCGGUUUGGGCGGCCGGUCAAAGGCCCUCGGAAUGUAACGCCUCUCGGGGCGUCUUAUAGCCGAGGGUGCCAUGCGGCCAGCCCGGACCGAGGAACGCGCUUCGGCACGGACGCUGGCAUAAUGGUCGUAAGCGACCC